rnacentral:rRNA from 1 species
CCUACGGGUGGCAGCAGUAGGGAAUUUUCGUCAAUGGGCGCAAGCCUGAACGAGCAAUGCCGCGUGAACGAGGAAGGUCUUCGGAUCGUAAAGUUCUGUUGAAGGGGAAAAAGAGCGGAGAGAGGAAAUGGUCUCCGAUUGAUAUUACCCUUCGAGGAAGUCACGGCUAACUACGUGCCAGCAGCCGCGGUAAUACGUAGGUGGCGAGCGUUAUCCGGAUUUAUUGGGUUUAAAGGGUGCGUAGGCGGACUGUUAAGUCAGCGGUAAAAGCCCGGGGCUCAACCCCGGCGAGCCGUUGAAAGUGGCUGUCUUGAGCUGUCGAGAGGUAUGCGGAAUGCGCAGUGUAGCGGUGAAAUGCUUAGAUAUUGCGCAGAACUCCGAUUGCGAAGGCAGCAUACCGGCGGCGAUCUGACGCUGAGGCACGAAAGCGUGGGUAUCGAACAGGAUUAGAUACCCCAGUAGUC